rnacentral:rRNA from 1 species
AGACAGGUGGUGCAUGGUUGUCGUCAGCUCGUGUCGUGAGAUGUUGGGUUAAGUCCCGCAACGAGCGCAACCCUUAUAUUUAGUUGCCAGCACUUCGGGUGGGCACUCUAGAUAGACUGCCGGUGACAAACCGGAGGAAGGUGGGGAUGACGUCAAAUCAUCAUGCCCCUUAUGACCUGGGCUACACACGUACUACAAUGGCCGGUACAACGGGCUGCGAAAUCGCGAGAUGGAGCCAAUCCCAACAAAGCCGGUCUCAGUUCGGAUUGCAGGCUGCAACUCGCCUGCAUGAAGUCGGAAUUGCUAGUAAUCGCGGAUCAGCAUGCCGCGGUGAAUACGUUCCCGGGUCUUGUACACACCGCCCGUCACACCACGAGAGUUUAUAACACCCGAAGUCGGUGGGGUAACCGCAAGGAGCCAGCCGCCGAAGGUGGGAUAGAUGAUUGGGGUGAAGUCGUAACAAGGUAGCCGUAUCGGAAGGUGCGGCUGGAUCACCUCCUUUCUAUGGAGA